rnacentral:rRNA from 1 species
CCUACGGGCGGCAGCAGUGAGGAAUAUUGGUCAAUGGACGAGAGUCUGAACCAGCCAAGUAGCGUGAAGGAUGACUGCCCUAUGGGUUGUAAACUUCUUUUAUAAAGGAAUAAAACGAGGCACGUGUGCCGUUUUGCAUGUACUUUAUGAAUAAGGAUCGGCUAACUCCGUGCCAGCAGCCGCGGUAAUACGGAGGAUCCGAGCGUUAUCCGGAUUUAUUGGGUUUAAAGGGAGCGUAGAUGGGUUGUUAAGUCAGUUGUGAAAGUUUGCGGCUCAACCGUAAAAUUGCAAUUGAUACUGGCAGUCUUGAGUACAGGUGGGGUAGGCGGAAGUCGUGGUGUAGCGGUGAAAUGCUUAGAUAUCACGAAGAACCCCGAUUGCGAAGGCAGCUUACUAAACUGUGACUGACAUUGAUGCUCGAAAGUGUGGGUAUCAAACAGGAUUAGAUACCCGGGUAGUC